GGUUAAGUUAAUAAGGGCGCACGGUGGAUGCCUUGGCACUAGGAGCCGAAGAAGGACGGCACUAACACCGAUAUGCCUCGGGGAGCUGUAAGUGAGCUGUGAUCCGGGGAUUUCCGAAUGGGGAAACCCACUGUUCGUAAUGGAGCAGUAUCCAUGUGUGAAUACAUAGCACAUGAGAAGGCAGACUCAGGGAACUGAAACAUCUAAGUACCUGAAGGAAGAGAAAGCAAAUGCGAUUCCCCAAGUAGCGGCGAGCGAAACGGGAUCAGCCCAAACCAGAAGGCUUGCCUUCUGGGGUUGUAGGACACUCUAUACGGAGUUACAAAGGAACGGAUUAAGCGAAGCGACCUGGAACGGUCCGCAAGAUAGGGUAAUAGCCCCGUAGCUGAAAGUUCGUUCCCUCCAGAGUGGAUCCUGAGUACGGCGGAACACGAGAAAUUCCGUCGGAAUCCGGGAGGACCAUCUCCCAAGGCUAAAUACUCCCUAGUGACCGAUAGUGAACCAGUACCGUGAGGGAAAGGUGAAAAGCACCCCGGAAGGGGAGUGAAAUAGAUCCUGAAACCGUGUGCCUACAAGUAGUUAGAGCCCGUUAAUGGGUGAUAGCGUGCCUUUUGUAGAAUGAACCGGCGAGUUACGAUUGCAUGCAAGGUUAAGGUGAGAAGCCGGAGCCGCAGCGAAAGCGAGUCUGAAUAGGGCGAGUGAGUAUGUAGUUGUAGACCCGAAACCAGGUGAUCUACCCAUGUCCAGGGUGAAGGUAAGGUAACACUUACUGGAGGCCCGAACCCACGCACGUUGAAAAGUGCGGGGAUGAGGUGUGGGUAGCGGAGAAAUUCCAAUCGAACCUGGAGAUAGCUGGUUCUCUCCGAAAUAGCUUUAGGGCUAGCCUCAAGAUAGAGAAUCCUGGAGGUAGAGCACUGUUUGGACUAGGGGCCCAUCCCGGGUUACCGAAUUCAGACAAACUCCGAAUGCCAGUGAUUUAUGCUUGGGAGUCAGACUGCGAGUGAUAAGAUCCGUAGUCAAGAGGGAAACAGCCCAGACCACCAGCUAAGGUCCCCAAAUAUCCGUUAAGUGGAAAAGGAUGUGGCGUUGCUUAGACAACCAGGAUGUUGGCUUAGAAGCAGCCAUCAUUUAAAGAGUGCGUAAUAGCUCACUGGUCGAGUGACACUGCGCCGAAAAUGUACCGGGGCUAAACGGAUUACCGAAGCUGUGG
rnacentral:rRNA from 1 species